CAGGGCUCUCAAGUCUCACGCAUUCACCGUGAGACACACGCAUUUCAACCAGUUCACACGCUCUCACGCCACACCUUGUAUUUUUCAAGCUAAAAAGUAAGGGAUAACUUACAUAUACUGUUAUAUAACGCUAUAUACUGUUAAUGGACGAGGCGUAGGCUUGCAGGGGGAGUUCAUCGCUGUCUUGACAGUUAAAUGCCACCUACCAGCAAAUGUCUGAAAUUAGAAUUGUUUGUUUUCGACUAAAUUACGUGAUACCGCUUCAGUCACGUUCGUCACUCGGCAACAUGGACGCGCACACACGGGACGAGGCAAGCGGUGGAACCGUCGAUCGCGUGGCUGCCGCUUUCUCUAGCAGUGGAAGCGUUAUGUACAGUCGCGUUGCGGCCACGGAGCGGACGUUGUCGUUUGUAUUUACAACAAAAUAAGUGCAGUAGGUAACCCAUUCUUCUGUCUUCUUCUUCAGUAGCACUCAACACUGAUUACUGUCAGACUUACCUUCAUCACUUGACUUAAGAUUAUAAUAAUAAUUUAAUUUUAGAGCCCAACCACCACAAAAUCAGACUUUAGCACCUAGGUUAGGUUAAAUACAGAUUUAAAAUCAGAAGAUAUAGUUUAGCAGCUAUGAUACCAUUUUUAUAAUCAGAUCCUUGCAGUUAAUCGUAAAAAAAAAAAGCAUAUACAUAAACCCAAAUAUGUAAAUAAAUCAGUUAUUGCAUAAGCAUGUGUCCUAUUUUGUGUACUAAACUUCUGAAACGUUUUGUCUCAUAUUUUAGAGCAGUCAAUGCAAUUUGGGAAAGAAAUUAAUCAAAUCUGUGUGAAAAUAUUCAGAUGUAACCCCUUUGUGAUUUUCAUAAGUAACUGUAAUUUAACUAUACAUUGUUUCUCAGCAACUGUAACCGAUUAGUUACAAUUAUUUUGUAAUUAAAUGAUGUAAUUCCAUUACAUGUAACUAGUUAAGUUUGAGCCCCAACCACUGUCAUCAAGGUAUCAAUAUGUGCAACAAACACUUGCAAAACAAAAUGCCAUUAUUAAGCUGAAAUAUGUGCUUUCUCUCUCUCACACACACACAGCUUGACAUGCUCAGGGCAAGUUCUGCAAUACUGUAUGUGUAGGCCUAGAGUAUGUACUUUGAGAACUGCUGUUUAUUGGCUCAUUUGGGGUCAAAUUUCCUUUGAUUUUUGAUACGUUUGUAUUUUUGAAAUAUAUAUAUAUUUUUUUUUAUGAAUUUGACUUUAAUCAAACUUACCAGUUGUUAUAGUUUCUAUUUUGUGCUGGUCAGUUAUGACCAAUAGAUAAAAUUUAACUUCUAGCAAAAACUGGAGAGAAUUGCGUGGGGCCGAGGGGCUCCUCUCCCAACAGAUAUAAUCUCACUCCAAACUUUUUCUAAAACUUGAGAGCCCUGCAGGUAUGUGUGCUAGAAUCAAUCAAUAACAAACUGGCAAUACUCAAACUUCUACAUCAAGACAUAAAAGACUUAAAAGCGAGUCUGGAAUUCAGCCAAACACAAAUCGCAUCCUUGCAAAAUGAGAACAACGAACCGCAAAGCAAGAUAAUAAUAAUAUCACAACGCAAUUGGAUAAAGUCACCGAGGAAAAUAAACUUCUGAAAGAAACUGUCCUUGAUCUUCAGUGUCGUAGCAUGCGAGACAAUCUGAUCUUCUCAGGAAUUCCCGAACAAAUACAAGACAACCCAGAACACGCAAUAAAAGAAUUCAUGAACUUAAAUCUGAAGAUCCCAAAAGAAACAGUAGAGAAGAUCACCUUUCAACGCGUCCACCGUCUCGGCCAUCAAAACAACCAGAUAGCAGGUUAAUCCACACAACUAUUGGGGAGAGGAAAAACAAAAAGGCAAGAGAGAAGGGGAAAAAAGGAGGAAUUAGGAGGAGACAUGAAGGACGGGAAGCAAGAGAAUUCCACGGGUUCAAACCAACAUAAAUGACAGAUCAGACUUGACAGGAACUGAAGUGGGAGAGAGAGAGAGGGAAAGGUCCUCGAGCCAGGAUUCGAACACGGGACACCUGGAGCUCAACAGCGCUCUUUAUUUGCUUCAGCUGAAGAGAAAGUUUCCAGCAACACUUACGUUCCCUCCUCCUUCAGUACAGGCGCUGGGCAGAGCAGUAGGUCUUUGCUUCAGGCUCGACGACUAUUUACCUCCUGUGCAAAUACUUGAGGGCUCCACGGCAAGGAUUUCUAUGCAGGAUCUUUUCAAGAUCUAAGGCAAGAAAAGAUGAAUGCAUUUAUGUUUGAAUAUUCUGAGCAUGUCAUAGAUGUCAUUUUUAUUGUUGUAAUUUAUAGCAGCAUCCUAAUUGUCAUGCAGCCUCAUAAAUGACUGAUUUGCAGCACUCAUAAUCCUUUUUAAUUAGCUUGAGAUAUUUUACAAAUAUUUUUGGUACUAAAUUAAAUAUUUUAGUUGAAUUCAAUGUAAUUGUUGUGUAAUUAAUUGUUCUGAAUAGUAUUUUUAGAUGCACUUUAUAUUUAUAAUUGCAUUGCAUAUCAUUUUUUUUAAUUAUACAUGAAAUGCUGUUUUUUUUGGUAAAAAUGUGUCAAAAGUGCAUUUGUGACCCUGGACCACAACAUCAGCCUUAAGUAACCUGUCUAUAUUUGUAGCAAUAGCCGAAAAUACAUUGUAUGGGUCAGAAUUAUUUUUUCUUUUAUGCUAAAAAUCAUUAGGAUUUUAAGUAAAGUUCAUGUUCCAUUAAUAUAUUUUGUAAAUAUCCUACCAUAAAAGUAUAUCACAACUUAAUUUUAAGUAAUAUGCUAAGAACUUAAUUUGGACAAAUUUAAAGGCGAUUUCUCAAUAUUUUUAUUUUUUUUGCACCCACAGAUUCCAGAUUUUCAAAUAGUUGUAUCUCAGCCAAAUAUUGUCCUAUCCUAACAAACCAUACAACAAUGGAAAGCUUAUUUAUUUAGCUUUUUCAUAUAAUAUAUAAAUCUCAAUUUAAAAACAAAUUACCCUUAUGACUGGUUUUGUGGUCCAGGGUCACAUUUGAUACCAUAAAAUGCUGCCUAUAUAUUCAAGUCACAACACAACAAAAGUGUCAUAACGCAUUUGAUGCGUCAAUAAAAUCAUCAAUAGAAAGAAA